UACGUAGGCAGCGAGCGUUGUUCGGAGUUACUGGGCGUAAAGGGUGUGUAGGCGGUUUUCUAAGUUUGGUGUGAAAUCCCGGGGCUCAACCCCGGAACUGCCUUUGAUACUGGUAGUCUCGAGUCCGGAAGAGGUGAGUGGAAUUCCGAGUGUAGAGGUGAAAUUCGUAGAUAUUGGGAAGAACACCGGUGGCGAAGGCGGCAACCUGGUCCUUUACUGACGCUGAGGCGCGAAAGCGUGGGGAGCAAACAGG
rnacentral:rRNA from 1 species